CCUACGGGAGGCAGCAGUGAGGAAUAUUGGUCAAUGGACGAGAGGCUGAACCAGCCAAGUAGCGUGAAGGAUGACUGCCCUAUGGGUUGUAAACUUCUUUUAUAUGGGAAUAAAAUGUUCCACGUGUGGGAUUUUGUAUGUACCAUAUGAAUAAGGAUGGGCUAACUCCGUGCAAGCAGCCGGGGUAAUACGGAGGAUCCGAGCUUUAUCCGGAUUGAUUGGGUUUAAAGGGAGGGUAAGUGGAUGGUUAAGUCAGUUGUGAAAGUUGGCGGGUCAACCGUAAAAUUGCAGUUGAAACUGGCAGUCUUGAGUACGGUAGAGGUGGGCGGAAUUCGUGGUGUAGCGGUGAAAUGCAUAGAUAUCACGAAGAACUCCGAUGGCGAAGGCAGCUCACUGGACUGCAACUGACACUGAGGCUCGAAAGUGUGGGUAUCAAACAGGAUUAGAUACCCCAGUAGUC
rnacentral:rRNA from 1 species